rnacentral:rRNA from 1 species
AUUGAACGCUGGCGGCAGGCCUAACACAUGCAAGUCGAACGAGUGGCGGACGGGUGAGUAAUGUCUGGGAAACUGCCUGCUGGAGGGGGAUAACUACUGGAAACGGUAGCUAAUACCGCAUACCAUCAGAUGUGCCCAGAUGGGAUUAGCUUGUUGGUGGGGUAACGGCUCACCAAGGCGACGAUCCCUCGCUGGUCUGAGAGGAUGAUCAUUCCAACUGAAACUUAGACACGGUCCAGACUCCUCUGGGAGGCAGCAGUGGGGAAUAUUGGACAAUUGGCGAAAUCCUGAUCCAUCCAUGCCGCGUGUGUGAAGAAGGUCUUCGGAUUGUAAAGCACUUUAAGUUGGGAGGCGUUACCAACAGAAUAAGCACCGGCUAACUUCGUGCCAGCAGCCGCGGUAAUAC